UGGGGAAUUUUGGACAAUGGGCGAAAGCCUGAUCCAGCAAUGCCGCGUGUGUGAAGAAGGCCUUCGGGUUGUAAAGCACUUUUGUCCGGAAAGAAAUCCUUGGCUCUAAUACAGUCGGGGGAUGACGGUACCGGAAGAAUAAGCACCGGCUAACUACGUGCCAGCAGCCGCGGUAAUACGUAGGGUGCAAGCGUUAAUCGGAAUUACUGGGCGUAAAGCGUGCGCAGGCGGUUUGCUAAGACCGAUGUGAAAUCCCCGGGCUCAACCUGGGAACUGCAUUGGUGACUGGCAGGCUAGAGUAUGGCAGAGGGGGGUAGAAUUCCACGUGUAGCAGUGGAAUGCGUAGAGAUGUGGAGGAAUACCGAUGGCGAAGGCAGCCCCCUGGGCCAAAUACUGACGCUCAUGCACGAAAAGCGUGGGGAGCAAAACAGGAUUAGAUACCCUGGUAGUCCACGCCCUAAAACGAUGUCAAACUAGUUGUUGGGGAUUCAUUUCCUUAGUAACGUAGCUAACGCGUGAAGUUGACCGCCUGGGGAGUACGGUCGCAAGAUUAAAACUUAAAUGAAUUGACGGGGUCAUAGCUGUUUCCU
rnacentral:rRNA from 1 species